rnacentral:rRNA from 1 species
AGCGAACGCUGGCGGCAGGCCUAACACAUGCAAGUCGAACGGGCUCUUCGGAGCUAGUGGCGGACGGGUGAGUAACACGUGGGAACGUGCCUUUAGGUUCGGAAUAAGCCCGGGAAACUGGGUCUAAUACCGGAUGUGCCCUUCGGGGGAAAGAUUUAUCGCCUUUAGAGCGGCCCGCGUCUGAUUAGCUAGUUGGUGGUGUAAUGGACCACCAAGGCGACGAUCAGUAGCUGGUCUGAGAGGAUGAUCAGCCACAUUGGGACUGAGACACGGCCCAAACUCCUACGGGAGGCAGCAGUGGGGAAUCUUGCGCAAUGGGCGAAAGCCUGACGCAGCCAUGCCGCGUGAAUGAUGAAGGUCUUAGGAUUGUAAAAUUCUUUCACCGGGGACGAUAAUGACGGUACCCGGAGAAGAAGCCCCGGCUAACUUCGUGCCAGCCGCCGCCGUAAAAC